rnacentral:rRNA from 1 species
UACGAAGGGGGCGAGCGUUGUUCGGAUUUACUGGGCGUAAAGGGCGCGUAGGCGGCCCUCCUUGUCGCGUGUGAAAGCCCCGGGCUCAACCUGGGAACGGCGCGCGAGACGGGGGGGCUGGAGUUCGGGAGAGGAGCGUGGAAUUCCCAGUGUAGAGGUGAAAUUCGUAGAUAUUGGGAAGAACACCGGUGGCGAAGGCGGCGCUCUGGACCGAGACUGACGCUGAGGCGCGAAAGCGUGGGGAGCAAACGGG